rnacentral:misc_RNA from 1 species
AUAGAUUCCCGUUCAUCUAGCAAUUGUCCAAUACCCCCAUCUUCUUCCACGUCCAAAUUCCAUCCAAGACAAAACCAACCACCUUUCUUGACAAUAGCAUCCACCAAAUCCUCCCUGCCGGCCUCAAUCAGGUCUUUCUUGCUCGGAAACGCUUCUGGGUUUCUUGAACUUUUCAUAAACUCCAAUAUCUCCGCCUCCAAUGCGAAACCCCCUUCUCUAUCCAAAUCUUUACACCUCGUCACAAACCCAGAACAACCAUAGAACAUACCCUUGGAAGA